rnacentral:tRNA from 2 species
GGUGGGGUUCCCGAGCGGCCAAAGGAGCAGACUGUAAAUCUGCCGUCAUCGACUUCGAAGGUUCGAAUCCUUCCCCCACCACCA